rnacentral:rRNA from 1 species
UAUGUGAUCGUCUCUCGCAUAUCAAUAAGCGGAGGAAAAGAAACUAACAAGGAUUCCCCUAGUAACGGCGAGUGAAGCGGGAAGAGCUCAAAUUUGAAAUCUUAAAGGGUUUCCCCUUCACGAAUUGUAGUUUAAAGAAGUGUUUUCUGUUGAGGUUUUGGUAAAAGUUCUUUGGAAUAGGACAUCAUAGAGGGUGAGAAUCCCGUAUUUGACCUUUACUUUCAACUUUGUGAUACACUUUCAAAGAGUCGGAUUGUUUGGGAAUGCAGUCCAAAAUGGGUGGUAAAUUUCAUCUAAAGCUAAAUAUUGGCGAGAGACCGAUAGCGAACAAGUACCGUGAGGGAAAGAUGAAAAGAACUUUGAAAAGAGAGUUAAACAGUACGUGAAAUUGUCAAAAGGGAAGCGUUUGACACCAGUGUUGUUUUUCUGAAAAUCAAUUAAAGAACUGUUUAUGCUAAGUUGUUUAGACUUUAUCAGCUAACUGUUUAGUUUUGAGCUUUUCUUUAAUGCACUUUUCAGUUAACAAGUCAACAUCAAUUUCUUUUGCUGUAAAAAAGCUUGAGGAAGGUGGCUUGAGAUUCGUCUUAAGUGUUUAUAGCCUCUUGCCUAUGCAGUCGGAGAGAUUGAGGUCUGCAGCGUAGAUCCUUCGGGGCUAAAUGCAUUUGUGCUAAGUUAUAGCAUUUUAUAGACAACUUGUUGACUAUGAUUUGUCUUGUAGCUUACUCGCUUAUGUUAUUUUACCUACGCUUAGGAUGUUGAUCUACAGAGCGAGAGU